rnacentral:rRNA from 1 species
GACGAACGCUGGCGGCGUGCUUAACACAUGCAAGUCGAACGGAAAGGCCCUGCUUUUGUGGGGUGCUCGAGUGGCGAACGGGUGAGUAACACGUGAGUAACCUGCCCUUGACUUUGGGAUAACUUCAGGAAACUGGGGCUAAUACCGGAUAGGAGCUCCUGCUGCAUGGUGGGGGUUGGAAAGUUUCGGCGGUUGGGGAUGGACUCGCGGCUUAUCAGCUUGUUGGUGGGGUAGUGGCUUACCAAGGCUUUGACGGGUAGCCGGACUGAGAGGGUGACCGGCCACAUUGGGACUGAGAUACGGCCCAGACUCCUACGGGAGGCAGCAGUGGGGAAUAUUGCGCAAUGGGCGGAAGCCUGAUGCAGCAACGCCGCGUGCGGGAUGACGGCCUUCGGGUUGUAAACCGCUUUCGCCUGUGACGAAGCGUGAGUGACGGUAAUGGGUAAAGAAGCACCGGCUAACUACGUG